rnacentral:rRNA from 1 species
GGGGGAUAUUGCACAAUGGAGGAAACUCUGAUGCAGCAACGCCGCGUGAAGGAUGAAGGUUUUCGGAUUGUAAACUUCUUUAGUCAGGGACGAAAAAAUGACGGUACCUGAAGAAUAAACCACGGCUAACUACGUGCCAGCAGCCGCGGUAAUACGUAGGUGGCAAGCGUUGUCCGGAAUUACUGGGUGUAAAGGGCGUGUAGGCGGGAAUGUAAGUCAGAUGUGAAAUCCCAGGGCUUAACCCUGGAGCUGCAUCUGAAACUAUGUUUCUUGAGUGCCGGAGAGGAAAGCGGAAUUCCUAGUGUAACGGUGAAAUGCGUAGAUAUUAGGAGGAACACCAGUGGCGAAGGCGGCUUUCUGGACGGUAACUGACGCUGAGGCGCGAAAGCGUGGGGAGCAAAC